rnacentral:rRNA from 1 species
UACGAAGGGGCUAGCGUUGCUCGGAAUCACUGGGCGUAAAGGGUGCGUAGGCGGGUCUUUAAGUCAGGGUGAAAUCCUGGAGCUCAACUCCAGAACUGCCUUUGAUACUGAAGAUCUUGAGUUCGGGAGAGGUGAGUGGAACUGCGAGUGUAGAGGUGAAAUUCGUAGAUAUUCGCAAGAACACCAGUGGCGAAGGCGGCUCACUGGCCCGAUACUGACGCUGAGGCA